rnacentral:rRNA from 1 species
GAUGAACGCUGGCGGCGUGCCUAAUACAUGCAAGUCGAGCGAACAGACGAGGAGCUUGCUCCUCUGACGUUAGCGGCGGACGGGUGAGUAACACGUGGAUAACCUACCUAUAAGACUGGGAUAACUUCGGGAAAUCGGAGCUAAUACCGGAUAACAUGUUGAACCGCAUGGUUCAACAGUGAAAGACGGUCUUGCUGUCACUUAUAGAUGGAUCCGCGCCGCAUUAGCUAGUUGGUAAGGUAACGGCUUACCAAGGCAACGAUGCGUAGCCGACCUGAGCGGGUGAUCAGCCACACUGGAACUGAGACACGGCCCAGACUCCUACGGGAGGCAGCAGUGGGGAAUCUUCCGCAAUGGGCGAAAUCCUGACGCAGCAACGCCGCGUGAGUGAAGAAGGUCUUCGGAUCGUAAAACUCUGUUAUUAGGAAAGAACAAAUGCGUAAGUAACUAUGCACGUCUUGACGGUACCUAAUCAGAAAGCCACGGCUAACUACGUG